rnacentral:piRNA from 1 species
UUGAGGCAGGGUCUCAUGUAGUU